AUUGGCUUUUAUGUUCUUGAUUAGGGGAGAUUUACCAUUGUUGCAAUUGUGGGAGAGGUUCUUUGACGGACAGGAUGUGAACAAAUACUCGAUAUAUGUUCAUUCGCUCCCAGGAUAUGUGCUUAGUGUUUCCAAUACCUCAGUUUUCUACAAGCGCCAGAUCCCAAGUCAGGUUCCAAGAACAGUGCAUAAAUGGCAGCAUUACAAACUUUACCCAUAUUUAGUUCCUCUGGAGAAAAUCCUUAACUUCUCAAACAAGAAUGAUCCAAACCCCGUCACAAAAAAGAAAAGCAGACACAACUAUCAGAUAAUAUAUGGAUCAAUAUAACUGCAAAGGACGUUGUAGUUACACGAAGUUCACUCAUUGGUGAUUAUAGACACAUCUAUAACUUUAGGAACUCUUCGUAUUGUACACCAAUAAACACUUUCUAAUAUGCAAAACUGUGCAACAUUGUAAUCC